UACGUAGGGAACAAGCGUUGUCCGGAUUUACUGGGCGUAAAGGGCACGCAGGCGGUUUUUUAAGUCAGAUGUGAAAGGCCACAGCUCAACUGUGGACAUGCAUUUGAAACUGGAAGACUUGAGUAUUGGAGAGGCAAGUGGAAUUCCUAGUGUAGCGGUGAAAUGCGUAGAUAUUAGGAGGAACACCGGUGGCGAAGGCGGCUUGCUGGACAAAUACUGACGCUGAGGUGCGAAAGCGUGGGGAGCAAACAGG
rnacentral:rRNA from 1 species